rnacentral:lncRNA from 1 species
GCCCCUUCCAAGUUCCAGGUCUUGGGGAAGCUUUGGGGAGUAAAUUUACAACAUAAAAUCUUAAACUCUAAUCUCAAAGACUAGAUAUUUUCAUCUGACAACAUCUGUACGACUGCUAAUUAGUUCUCGUGUCCUCCUCCUCUUUCAGAUCUUAAAUGAGAAGAAAAGAUUGAAGUCUUGCCAUAGGCUCUUUCCAACUUCCAAAUCACUCUUGAUGGAACCAUUUGUCCCACAUAAAGCACACAGGAAUGAGGAGAAGCCUGUCAGGUUUAAUACACCUCUACAUGUUCCUUUCACAGCAAAAGCAUCCUCCUCUGGGUGAUUAGACAGAUCAAGUCUAUAAAAAACUCUGGGUACAGACGUCAAAGAGCAUCAGUGGAGAGGGACCUGCCAUUAUAACAUCUCUUUAUACAGUUCCCUUGAUGGGUGUUGCUUUUUCAAAACCUGUUAGGCAAGAGGUUCUCAAACUUAGCGAAUGGUAGAAUCAUCCGGCGAUCCUGGGAACUUACAUUAAGAUGAAGAGCAAGACUAUCAGAGUGGCCAAUUUUUUUUAGGGACAGAAAAUACCAACACUUGGCAAGCAUUCUUAUAAACCGAGUGGGAAUAUAAAUUGGUACAGCCACUUUUAAAGACUGCUUUGAAAAAAAAACUGCUCAAGCAAUAUCUUCUAAAGCUGAACAUAUGAUGCCCUAUAAUCCAGCAAUUUCAUUCCUAGGAAUACACCCAACAGAAGUUUCUACAUACAUUCUCCAAAAGGCAUUUAUAAGAACUUUAAUAGCACUGUUUGUAAAAACCCCAAAGUAUAAACUACCCAAGAUGCCCACCAACAGUAGUUUGGAAAAAAAUUUAUAGUCUACUCACAUAAUGGAACAUAGUACAGCAAUGCAGAUGAGCAAUAUACAGUUAGACUUGACAGUCUGGAGCUCUCACAAUGUUAAUCAGAAUAAGGCAAACACAAAAGCGCAUACUACAUGAUUCUAUUUGGGUAAAAUUCAAAAACAGGCAAAAUGAAUCUAUGUUGUUAUCCAUCAGAAUAGUGGUUUUGGGGUGAGGGUGACUGGGAAGGGACAUUAAAAAGCGCUUCUGGAGUGCUGAUAAUAUUCUGUUUUUUGAGCAGGAUAUGACUAACCUGGGCAUGUUCAAUCUGUGAAAAAUUCAUUCACUUAGGAUAAGUAUAAUUAUCUGUAUUUGUUUUACCUUAAUAAACCAUUAACAUUUAAAAAAAAUAGUGGAGUUCCCUUGUGUGUAGUAGGUUAAGGAUCCAGAGAUGUCCCUGCAACUGCCCAGCCGCUGCUAAAGUGCUGCUGCUUCUCCAGAAAGUCUCAAGCAGGAUGCUUUCUGUAGAACGCUAAUAGUUCCAGAGGAGGUUAACAGGUGUUAUAUGGGAAAAGGUUUCCAUGGUGAAAUAAAUAAUUUUUAAAUUUUUAAUUAUUAACUUUUAUUGAACACUUAAUACAUUCCUAGAGCUAAACUAAUUGCUUUACCUAGCUAUCUCGUUUAAUCCCACAACAAGCCUCUGGGAAAGGUACUAAUUUUACAGAAGAGUAAAGUAAGCUCAAUAGGGUUAAGUAAUUGCCCAGGGUCACACAGCCACAGGAUUAAGAUUCAAAUCCCCAUUGGCCUUGACACUGAAGCCCAUGCUCUGAACCACUGCCCUGAUCUGCCUCUCCAGGCCAACACUUGACUGCAGGACUUAGCAGAGCCUUCACUAGGCUAACAGGAGCUGUGAGUUGCCAAGACAGGAAUGUGGAAGAUGGCAUUUCCCAAUUUGGUCUUCUUGCCUCUAUCUCUUACCUUCCACCCCACAAUCCACACUACUGGCAGAGUUUUCAUUCUGUAACCAAGUCCAAUCCUGAAGUUCCCUUGUAAAGAAGCACGUAAUGCCUCCCCAUUGCCCAUAAACUCAAGUCAAAACUCCUCAGCCUCACAGUCCAAACCAUCCAGUAUCUGGCCUUGAAAUUGUCAGCUUCAUCUCUGGCAAUCCUAACCUCCUUCCCCACCCAACCCAUGAGGCAAUUCGAUUUUCCAGCUACACUAAACUGGACUGAUGGAUUUAUACCCCUGCAAUGGUGCCCACCAUUUGCUAAGACUCUGCUAUGUGUCAGGUACUACACACAAAUUAACUUUAACCCCUGCAAUGAGCCUUUAAAAAAUAGGGCUUAUUAUCCCCAGUAGAUAGAUUAGAAGGCUCAUCUUGACAUGCCCCAAGUCACAACUAAUAAGCGGCAGAACUAGGAUCUGAACAGAGAUUUCGAUUUCUCCAGUACAGAGGCCAUGGUGUUUUCACUCCACCACACCUACCUCCUGACCCUCACACAUGCUGUUCCAUGGGGUGGCAGUGCCCUUCUUUCUCUCCUCCUGGCAAACUCUUCCUUGUUCUUUGAGAGCUAGUGCAAGUGCUGUGAUGCUAAUAUCUAUCAUCUCUUAAGUGCUUUCCAGGCACCCUGCUCGCACUUGACUUGCCUCGUCUCAUUUACACAGUGUCGUCUCCAUGCUCCUUUUAUUCCCUCUGAAUUGCUUUCUAUCUGCCUUGUGCCAAAUGGGUUUCUUUCUCCUCUCUAGUUCCAAGGCAUUUGACCACAUCUCUGCUGUGCUCCACACACUCCGUAGUAAUUUUUAGUUUCAGUCUGUCGCUUCCCUGGACUAAAUGCUCUCAAAAGACAAGAGCUAUCAGUGAUUCACCUUUACACCCCACCCUGGAGUCACCCAGCAUGCGGUAGGUAUUCAAUACAAGAAGGAGAAUAGACAGGAGGGUGGGAGACCAAGAGAUUGAAAUUCACUGAGAUUAUUCUAUCAGUUCUAUCACAGCAAGUGGUCCUCCGGCUUAGAACCAGAGCUGUAGCAUCAAGCCAGACAAAACAGACCUGGCUUUUGGGGAGAGAUGAUGGAUACUGGGGGCCAGACCCAGGAUGUACCUUACCUGACCCCUGCUUUGCUAUCCAUGCAAGGAUGAGUUAGGAUGGCCUCUGACUCCAUGGCUCUUUGCAACUCUACAUGCUUUGCCACUGGCUCUAUAGAUCCUGGCUUAGAAAGCUUGCUGUAAAAUGAUGAUUGGUUUCAUUCCGCAGCUCUGUUUUAGAUAUUCUCAGCUGCUCCUUGCCUGGUCUUGUUCUCAAAUAUCCCAAGUGAAGAAAGAGCCACCCAAGCAGGGGGCCCAAAGACAACGUAGGGCUAAGGCAUGGCUCCCACAGGUGGGAAAACCAGGUGGUCGUCCCCCUUUCUAAAAGGCUCUAUUCUUUUUGAAUAGGAGGCCCUCUUACAAGACAGAGACAUCUUUGAGGCUCAGUCACCGAACGCCCAUUCUGAGCAUCCAGUCUACAAUGGGCACUGUUCAGAGCACACCUCCUCGUAACCGCUGGGGUAACCAUCGAUUCAUGCCACCCACGUCCCACCUCUGUGAGCUCCAAGGCUGUGGAUUUUAAAGUCAGCCUUCUGUUCCGCUGCUCUCGCUCUUUGUGGACUAACAUGCGUAUUUGCCCAGGUAAGAGUAAUCGGCAACCAGCACCAGCUGCAAACUCAGCUGUGUUUCUACACAGCCUCCCGCAAACAAACCUCAUUAGUAAACAUGGAAACCACCAAAAAGACGAUUUCAAAAUUACUUAUCCCUUCCUGGCUGCCCGCCUCUUCUGCUGCCUCCACUGGGGGUAAGCUGCAUGAUUUUUCUGCUUCUAAAAAGUCUUUUUCUUUUCUCUUUUUUUU